rnacentral:rRNA from 1 species
UCGCCUGUUUAUCAAAAACAUCUCUAUUAAUUUUAUUAAUAGUAAAAUCUGCUCAAUGAUAUUCACUUAAAUAGUCGCUUUUGUGCUAAGGUAGUAUAAUAAUUUGUCUUAUAAUUUAAGACCAAACAAAAGAUUUAACAUUUUAAUUAAUUUAAAUAUUUAAAUAUUUAAAUUUUUUUAAUUUUUAAAAAAAAACUAUUUUUAAAAAAGACGAUAAGACCCUAUUAAACUUUACUUUAGUUAAACUGGGGUAGUUAAAUAAAUAAUUUUUAUUUAUAUAUAAUAAUUAUAUUUAGACCUAAUAUAAUUAAAUAUAAAUUAAGUUACUAUAGGGAUAACAGCGUAAUAAUUUUUAUAAGCACUUAUAUUAAAAAUAGAUUGCGACCUCGAUGUUGAAUUAAUAUUCUAUUUUACGCAAUAGUAAAUAAAGACAAGUCUGUUCGACUUUUAAAUAAUUACAUGAUCUGAG